rnacentral:lncRNA from 1 species
AUUUCCGUUUCAGCUAGGAGAAUGGGGGAUGCUCUGCACGGGAGACUGUUUGCUGCAGGCUGAGGAGCCACCGCAGGAGACGAGCAAGAGCUGGUGAAGAACUGAAAUGAAGCAGUUAAAUCCAGGCCCUGGCGGUCGUCGUCCCCUCAGACCCAGCUCCCUGGAUCUUGAGACACUUUUGUGUGGAGCCACACCAGCCUCAUGUGCCACCGGCACAGGUCCUGAGGAAGCAGACCCAGCGUCGGCCAAAGGAAGGAAGUCUGACCAGAGAGGUGGAGCAUGGGAGGUGGAAAGUCUGGUGCUGGAAGAGGUGCUACGACAUGCAGACUGACGGUCUCUGGAAGCCAGCAGUCACGCUGACAUCUGUCCUGGCAGCUAAUGAACAGGCACUCGUUCGUUAACCAGUAGCCCUGCAGAGGUCAAGGAUGGUAACGCACUCUGUGACUAGCGUCAGUGGGAAGCCAUUAAUACAACUGGCCGUGAAGGGGCAAGAGAAGGAACAGUUAGCAGAACCCCCUGAGAGCUGUGGCCAGUGGAUGGGGCCACCUGACAGACGCGCUGAUUUGGGUACCAACAUUAGGUAGAAAGAAGUGGCUACAGCUGAACUGGCAUGGAUGGAACUGAGAGAGUGAAUAAUCUAACCGCUCUCUUCUUCCAUCUGACCUUUUGCGGGUGCCUUUCAUUGGCUAAGCCCAACCAGAAGUCAGAGGGCACAGGAAACCUGGAGAUGCCAUCUGUAGAGGGAAGCAGAUGGAAUUAACAGACACUGUGACUACUGCCCUAUUUAAGUGAGCACACAAGCCUGUGCGUCUAUUCCCAGAGAUGGCUGCAAGACUGUGAUGACGAAACAGAAAUACUACAUUUGCAAAUUCCCUGGCAAUAGUCCUCUUUAAUUUUAGAAAUUAUACUCACUUGCUUUUAAAGUUUCUAUUAAAAAGUUACAGAAAAAUGUGUUUAUCAGUAUCCUCCAUAAUGUUAUAUAAAUUCAAUGUCCUCUGAGGGAAAUAACAGAAGGGAUCGUGACAUUUCAUUGUCUGCCUCUGUUUCUGCUAUAGAUUCCUGCAUGACAAAUUACCCCCAAACUUCGUGACUUAAAAUAACAAUCAUUUUAUUACAUAUUA